GAGGCGGGCAGGCGGGUCGCAGCGGCCCGAUCAGCGCGAAGGGCGCCCGGCAGCCGCGCUUUUUAAAGCCGGCGUGCGCCGUGCGGCUUUUACUGGCUCCCCCGCGCACGGUAGGGUCUCGCCGGCCCCCUGGCCGCUCGGUCUAGCGGUCGCGGGCAUCCCCCGGUGCGGUGAGGCGGUGGCCGGGCCUGUCCCGCCUUCGGUCUGCGUGCACAGCCCGUCUUCUCCUCCUGGGACUGGUAUCUCUGGCUUUGUUGAUCACUCCUUCUUGCCUCACUGUUCACGGUGUCUUCUGAAGCCAGAAGGGGAAAGGAGUCCGCACAGGAGCCCAACCAGAACUCUGAAAGUAAGGGGAAGGACUGAAAUCAAGAUGCCAGAGACAUGUAUGGAAAGGGGUGAAGUGAGAGCUUAUCUGGAGAGAGGAUCAUGUGGAGAAUGGAGGAAGAAAGAAAGUUUGGAGGUGUCAGAAGCUGCAAAGGUGCUCAGAUACGUCAGGGUGUAUGAGAAAGAGAAUAAAGGGGGAGAAAUGGAGAAAGGCAGGUGGUAUGGCAGGCUCAUGGGCCGUACAAUGGAGUAGGAAAAACAGGGGUGACAAGAGGAUUGGUUGCCAUGAAUAGCAGAGAAGCAAAUGUGAAAGAGCUGGAAUGGUCACCUGAAAAGCUGAAGACCUACAGAUGGCUUGCAGGCACAUGAAGACACACGGGGAAUGCCGAGAGCAUGAGCAGCUGCAGAUUAGCAGGAUCAGGGGCUCCUGUGAGCUAGGAGAUCGAAGGUCUGAGCAGGUUUUCAGUGCUUUAUCCUUUGUUUACAUAGCAUUGUGGGUGGGAGAGGAGGCAGUGCCUGCUGCUUGGGAUGAGAGGACAGUCUUCCUGACAGUCCGGGAGCGUCUGCCUAGCAGCCCAGUCACAGUAAUCGCUGCGUAGAUGAGGCAGUUUCUCCAAAAAAGCCACAGAAAGGUCUGAAAAUCUACAGACCCAAGAAAAACUAAAACUGAUAGUUGGAGCUGUAUAGUUGGAGGGAGGGUAAGGUACUUCUAGCAUAGGAGCUUGGAAAUAGUAUUCUUAUUUGCAUGCAGAUGACCAAGUAUGCGUACUCCUUAUUUAAUGAACUUAUUUCAAGUAAUAGACCUAGCAAUCAAAACAAAGUGGUUAAGAGUUAGGAUGGUUGGUUGAGUCACUGAGUAUGCUUAUGACCUCAGAGCUAAGAAUAACCUGAGCUGUGGGGAUGAUACUAAUUACCACCCUACUAUUAGGUAUGCAAUUAUGUAUACUUAUGAGCUAAAUUUUGGAACACAGACUGUUCCUCCGUUUUCAGUGAAAUCUAACUCCUAUAUAUGAAUAUAUUACUAAGUUGUGACAAAAUGAAAAAUAAGCGAAUUCUUCAGUGAAUAAAAUAUAUCUUAAAAUAUUUUCUCUGAAAAAAGUAAGAAUAAACCCCAGUCAUGUUUCAUCUGAAACAAAGAUUAUUGGCAAACCUGAACAAUAAUUAGUCUUGCUGUGAAACAGUACAAAUAGCAGCAGAAGGUUAACAAUGGUGGCAUCUCCUUAAUGACUCAAAAAUCUUAAAGACAGUAAGGCAGAAAGGAAACUUUUUACUAAGAACCCUGCAUUCAAGAUAUCCUGUCAGCCUACAGACAUUUUAUACCUUAUACACGAGAUGACUGCUUUCUAGAAGAACAUUUGGUAGGAAAGGGGGUCAUCCUGCAGGGCCGUCAUAAGGGCUGGUGAGGCUCUAGGUGCAACAUCUGCCCAUUCCUUAUACCACCCACAUGAACAAGUCUAACAUGCUGGACUUCCUGCUGAUGUUCAGAGAUAUCCAUGUUGCGUGUACAGUGAAUUCAGUCUCCUGGAGAGGUAGGAUCCCCACAUAUCUGCAGUAGGUUCAGGGCAUCUGACAUUGAGCGUCAUGUGGCUUGGCGGUGUAAUUGCAUGACUGCUAAAUCUAGUGCAAGACAGGCAACAGGAGCCGGGGUGAGAUGGCAAGCAGGCCUCCCUUUUCAGUCACAGCUUGCUGUUAGAUCAGUUUCACCGUAAUACGAAACUGCACCAUGAGUCAGGAGCUUCUGAGCGCUCAUCAUGGCUCUGAUCUCAACAACAUUGGUGGCUGCAAGCAGCUAUUUUAACUGCAAGGUUGGUGUCUGUCAAGUAUGAAUAGUAGUAGCUAGGUACUUGAGAGCACUGUAAGGUUCAAUUAGAUAAUGUUUACCGAGUAUUAAUUAAGUAUUUUAAUUUUCAAAGUGCGGAUUAAAAAUGCCUGAAUGUUGAGUCAUCAUUCUAGUUGUACACUGUCACAUGUCCCAAAGGUUUAUUCAUCCAAUAAACAACAGGGCAUAGGUUUAUUUAUCCAGAAAGCAAGACAGCACAGCCUGUGGCCCCAGUGUCUUACUGAAACCUGUUAUCAUGAUGCAAUUAUUUAUUUUUGAGGAGAGAAGCUUUGAUUUGAAAGAGCUGUUUUGUCUCCUGCAGAUACAAUCUGUCGUGAUUCAGUUUUGCCUAUAUAAUAUAUAUAUAUUUGCUGUGUCAAGGAGGGAUAUCUGACUGAAUGUGACUUUAUUACUAAUUCUGUAUUAGUUUUCCUCUGUUGUAAGAGAAAGAUGUUGCAGAGAUUGCAUUUGGUAUUCAGAAAACCUGUUUAGUAAUUGCCUUGAAAACAAGGGGCAUGCCUAGCUUCAGCCAAGUUACUGACUAUUAAUAACUGUGAUUAAAGGCUGCAGUCCAGCAAUGGUGGGGGAUCUAGGUAGCUCCUCAGCAUUCAUGUGGCAAUAAUCUGCCUGGGUAUUAGGUUGAGACACUAAAAAGUUUAAGGAGACUCAGGCCUCUGUUGGGAUUAAAAGACAUGCAGUAUGGACUGCAGGGCCAGAAAGUUGAUGUCUUAAAAGGCAGGCACAGCCACAUGGGAUAAACUGAUAGACCAUAUCUGCCACUGGAAAUUUUCAGGAAUAUGAAGCAUCUCUGUGGUUCCGCAUGGGUCAGAUUUAGUUUGGCUGAAAUACUGUGUAUUUCAAAAUAGUCUCAGGCUUCUUUGCUACAUAUAUCUGCCGCCUUUACUAAGUAAGUACUCUGUCGUGGUAAGAGGUUCAGCUGGUCCACUGUCAUGAGUGUAUUUUGUAUUUUGUCCUUUUACUCAAAAGCAUAACUGGCAAAUCUUUGUACAAUGUGUUUCUCUCAGAUCUCCAUUACAUGAAUAAACAAAAUUGCUUGUUACCAAAUA